GGACUGUCCAACAGAUUAAACCGUCGUUCGACGCGAAUCGAUAUUUUUGGAAACUACGAGGAUUGCUUAUAUAGCUAAAAAAUACCUCCGCAUUUGACGUGAGCGUGGAUGGUCGAGUGGUAAAGUCGGGAGACAUUUUACUCCAAGCUUCCAUGACUCUAGGGGUCAGUGGUUCGAGCCCUGUGGAGCAAUCUAUAAAGGACAAACAUGAAAAUAUUCGUGCUGGGAUGUCUGUGCGUGUUGAGCGUGAUUGCAUUGGUUUCUUCCACGGCGAUGUAUGGUGCUUAUCCGGCCUAUACCGGCACUGUUGGCUACGGUAGCUAUGGAUACGGGGCAGGAGGUGGCGGCGGAUUCGGGGGCAUCUUUGGCAUCCUUAUUUUCUUGUUUGUAUUUAUCAUCAUUAUCAACCUUCUGUUCGGCGGUGGUAUCGGAGGCGGCAAUCAAGGCGGUGGCGGUGGAUACACGAACAACAAGAACAAUUACUAGACAGUGAUCAGCCUUGUGACAACCAUUCGACACGAGUAAUGGAAAAAAAGAACAAGCUUCUGUAAUACUAUGUAACAUUAUGUAUGCAUAUUAAAUAAGAGCAUCCCUCAA